GACGAACGCUGGCGGCGUGCUUAACACAUGCAAGUCGAACGGAAAGGCCUCUUUCGGGUGGUACUCGAGUGGCGAACGGGGGAGUAACACGUGAGUAACCUGCCCCUUACUUUGGGAUAACUUCAGAAAACUGGGGCUAAUAUCGGAUAUGGGCUCCCGCGGCACGUGGGGGGGUGGAAAGUGUCGGGGGGUGGGGGUGGGAUCGCGGCUUAUCAGCUUUUUGGGGGGGUAGGGGGUUACCAAGGGUUUUUCGGGGAGCCGGGCUGGGAGGGUGACCCGGCAAAAUGGGGCUGGGAUACGGCCCAGACUCCUACGGGAGGCAGGAGGGGGGAAUAUUGCAAAAUGGGUGGAAGCCUGAUGCAGCAACGCCGGGUGCGGGAUGGCGGCCUUCGGGUUGUAAACCGCUUUCGCUCAUGACGAAGCUGUGUGUGACGGUAGUGGGUAAAGAAGCACCGGCUAACUACGUG
rnacentral:rRNA from 1 species